GUCUGUUUAUUCGAAUAUCGACAAAUGUCGGUCGAUGAACAAGUCCAACAGCACCGGCAAAAUAUUUCAUCGAUUAGAGUUUCGUUCAAAAUCGUCGUUGACAUAUCAAGUAACGCAUUUCAUUCGCAAUUACUCGAAAGUAAAUACAUAGUAUGCUUACAUAAUGGUAAAAGCGGAUGCGAGGAAAUUCUUCUUAUGCCAUCGAUUUUAUGCUUCAGGAUCUGUAUGAACAAAAUAUCGUUAUGUAAAUAGUGAUCUUAUAAUUAGAGACAAAACAAUGAUUCACAAACAGUACGCACAUGUACAAAUAUUUUUUAGGAAAUAAAAGAAAAAGAAGUGGAAAAUCUAACCUAACGUCUAUAAACUUUGGCGCAUAUGUAUCAGAAUAUGACAAAAGAAGAUAAUAUAGAAAACAGAUAUUACGAAGAAACAGAAAACUAGAGCAAAAAGGAAAACGAGAGUAAAGGAAUUAGAAUAUAAAGUUGGCACUAGGGAUAAUAAUAGGAUAUCAUACAGGCUAGGAUCUGUUAGAAGUUAAUCUCACCGGUUGCAACAAGUGUUUGCUCCUAUCGGCAACAAAUUGACAGAAACGCAGGUCGUGGGAGCCAGGGAAAGCGGGCAUCCCCUUCAUCUGAGCGAACGAACGAGCCACCAGGUCAGUGACGUCAGUCAGACGUAAACCAAGUUAGACGUUAGGCAAGCAUUGAACAAGGAACAUUGUUUCUGUCACCAAAUGUGCUACUUAGACGCGACCCAAUGCGUCGGCUACAUACUCGACAUCAACACAUUUACGGCUAUCGACACUUCCCUCUUACGAAUUUUUAUUACUUUCCUCUGCUCGAUUUCCAUUCAUUUCCGGCUAUAUCAUAUCUACUCUCGUCUCUACUUGUCGCUAAUUCUUAAACGCCCUUGAUUCUUAAACGAAUUUGAUAUUCGUGCUUAUUGCCUGUGAUAUAUCGCAAGAAGUAAAUCUCGAGAUAGCCGUGCUCCAACCGCGUGUUUUUCAAGAAAGGUGAUUUAUAGUGCAAUUUUGUUCACAUAUCAUGCAACGAUCAGUCCCUUUCAACCUUUUAAACAACAGGGGCCUAUUAUAUUUUUUAUACCUACGUAUAUACCAUAAC